GAUUAAGAACGUAGCGAAAUGCGAUAAGUAAUGUGAAUUGCAGAAUUCAGUGAAUCAUCGAAUCUUUGAACGCACAUUGCGCCCGCCAGUAUUCUGGCGGGCAUGCCUGUUCGAGCGUCAUUUCAACCCUCAAGCCCAGCUUGGUGUUGGGGAUCGGCACAGGCGCCCUCGGGCGCCCGCCGUCCCCUAAAUCUAGUGGCGGUCCCGCUGCAGCCUCCUCUGCGUAGUAGUUUUCUCCUCGCAAGGGCAGCUCGGUGGCGACCUCGCCGUAAAACCCCCAACUUCUGAAAGGUUGACCUCGAAUCAGGUAGGAAUACCCGCUGAACUUAAGCAUAUCAAUAAGCGGAGGA
rnacentral:misc_RNA from 1 species